GGAAGUGUAGCUCAGUGGUAAAGCAUUUGUCUGGCAUACAUGAGACCCUUCAUUCAAUAGCCACCUCCA
rnacentral:tRNA from 1 species